rnacentral:lncRNA from 1 species
GAUCCACCACGCCUUUACAGUGCCUCCAUCCAGAUCCGCCACACCGCCACCUCCAUCCAUCCAAAUCGCCACACCACAGUCUCAGAAUCUGUUUGAACGACGGCUAACUAAUCCGGCGCGUGAACCGUUCCGAUCGAGAGCUUGGGUGACGGUGAAGCUCAUGGCGGAAAUCAGACGGGGACGAUUUUGUAAACAGGGGUCCCUUCAAAACCACUGUGCAAACCACCAUACGCGGCAGAUCUCUUCCCCAUCGGUAGUAUUCCGGUGACGAUGUGUCAAAAUCGGUAUUUAGAGUGUAUACAAAACAGCAACACAGAUCUAUGAUCCAAACUGUUAUAAAAGAACGAAACGAAAAAUAAAAAACAAUAAGGUAGGAUUGUACUCCUUUUGUUACAUUUUUUUUGCUUCUUGAAGAGUUGUAAGAAGGGGAACUUGCAAUGUUGCGAUUCAACUGUUUGCUGCUCAUCACAGUUUGAUUCAAAGAACUAAACCAUGAAUCUAACCUUCAUUUUGAUGGGUUUUGUGCUUGUAAUAUUUUUUGUUUUAUUUAUUAAUAAACAUUUUAAAUA